GGCGAACGGGUGAGUAAUAUAUCGGAACGUGCCCAGUCGUGGGGGAUAACGUAGAGAAAUUUACGCUAAUACCGCAUACGAUCUAAGGAUGAAAGCGGGGGACUUCGCAAGAGGCCUCGCGCGAUUGGAGCGGCUGAUAUCAGAUUAGGUUGUUGGUGAGGUAAAAGCUCACCAAGCCGACGAUCUGUAGCUGGUUUGAGAGAACGACCAGCCACACUGGGACUGAGACACGGCCCAGACUCCUACGGGAGGCAGCAGUGGGGAAUUUUGGACAAUGGGCGAAAGCCUGAUCCAGCAAUGCCGCGUGUGGGAAGAAGGCCUUCGGGUUGUAAACCACUUUUGUACGGAACGAAAAGGUCUGCCCUAAUACGGUGGGCCCAUGACGGUACCGUAAGAAUAAGCACCGGCUAACUACGUGCCAGCAGCCGCGGUAAUACGUAGGGUGCGAGCGUUAAUCGGAAUUACUGGGCGCAAAGCGUGCGCAGGCGGUUAUAUAAGACAGUUGUGAAAUCCCCGGGCUCAACCUGGGAAUUGCAUCUGUGACUGUAUAGCUAGAGUACGGUAGAGGGGGAUGGAAUUCCGCGUGUAGCAGUGAAAUGCGUAGAUAUGCGGAGGAACACCGAUGGCGAAGGCAAUCCCCUGG
rnacentral:rRNA from 1 species